AUCGUCAAAAUCUGGAACUACACUGGCGUGGUGGAAGCAUUCCAUAAUGGCGAGGGCAAGUGCUAUACUGCAAAGGUCCGAACAGAGGAGGAACUGAAGAAGGCGAUUGAGGCAUCUCUAGGACCUAACAAGGAUUGCUUGUGCUUUAUAGAGGUAAUUGUACACAAGGAUGACACUAGUAAGGAGCUUCUUGAGUGGGGCUCUAGAGUUUCCGCAGCGAACAGCCGCCCACCAAAUCCUCAGUGAACAUAUCAGAUAUUCAGAUGAUUGAUCCUCAUCGAGCCUAAUGAGGUCAUGUAAUUCUCAAUAGGAUAUGCUACUGAUAUUUGAAUAAACCAUCUAUGUAAGAUCACUACUGUUGCAA